rnacentral:rRNA from 1 species
UGAGGAAUAUUGGUCAAUGGGCGAGAGCCUGAACCAGCCAAGUAGCGUGCAGGAUGACGGCCCUAUGGGUUGUAAACUGCUUUUAUAUGGGAAUAAAGUGAGGGACGUGUCCCUUAUUGCAUGUACCAUAUGAAUAAGGACCGGCUAAUUCCGUGCCAGCAGCCGCGGUAAUACGGAAGGUCCAGGCGUUAUCCGGAUUUAUUGGGUUUAAAGGGAGCGUAGGCUGUUUGUUAAGCGUGUUGUGAAAUGUAAGAGCUCAACUUUUAGAUUGCAGCGCGAACUGGCAGACUUGAGUGCGCACAACGUAGGCGGAAUUCAUGGUGUAGCGGUGAAAUGCUUAGAUAUCAUGACGAACUCCGAUUGCGAAGGCAGCUUACGGGAGUGUUACUGACGCUUAAGCUCGAAGGUGCGGGUAUCGAACAGG